GCGAGUCGACGAAGACUUUUUCUUCGUGGCGUACGGGUGAGUAAUACACAGGAAUCUGCCUUUUAGUUCAGGAUAAAAUUCUGAAUAAUCAAAGAAAUCUUUUCGCUAAAAGAUGAGCCUGUGGAGGAUUAGGUAGUUGGUGUUGGGUAAAAGCCUACCAAGCCUAUGAUCCUUAGCUGUUCUGAGAGGUUGUACAGCCACACUGGGACUGAGACAAGGCCCAGGCUCCAUUCGGAGCCAGCAGUGAGGAAUUUUGGACAAUGAGCGAAAGCUUGAUCCAGCAAUACUACAUGAGUGAUGAAGGCUUUCAAGUUGUAAAACUCUUUGGUUGAGGAGGAUAAUGACAGUACUCAACAAAAUAGCCCCGGCUAACUCCGUGCCAGCAGCCGCGGUAAUACGGAGGGUGCAAGCGUUAUCCGGAUUCACUGGGUUUAAAGGGUGCGUAGGUGGAUUGGAAAGUCAGUGGUGAAAUCUCCGGGCUUAACUCGGAAACUGCCAUUGAUACUAUCAAUCUUGAAUACCGUGGAGGUCAGCGGAAUAUGUCAUGUAGCGGUGAAAUGCAUAGAUAUGACAUAGAACACCAAUUGCGAAGGCAGCUGGCUACACGAAUAUUGACACUGAGGCACGAAAGCGUGGGGAUCAAACAGGAUUAGAUACCCUGGUAGUCCACGCCCUAAACGAUGGAUACUC
rnacentral:rRNA from 1 species